GCGACCUACAAGGGACGAGAGGAAACGAUUUGAAACUUUUGAAAUUCUCUUGCUAGAAUUGCUUUGACUAGGGAAAGAAUGCGCUCGCAAUGUUCUGUACAGGUUUAAAUAUAUAAACAGCUGAGACCCAAAAACAGGACUGGCUCUAGCCUCGGGUGCAGGAAUAGAAGAUUGAUUCAGAGUGAUUUAGGAAAAGCGUUUCCAGAAUCUGGAAUUUUGAUGACCAGCUGUGGAAAGGGGAGCCCCUGGAGAGAAGCAGCCACGGAAGUACAGGCACUGACCAGAGAAGGCUUUUAAGACGAAGGGCAGUGUUACUAUGUUUUAAAAAUUGUUCUGCUUAAAAACAACGCCAUGGCAACAGCCUCUCCCAAGUUAUCGGGAUAAUUUUCCUUUGUUGAAAAUUCAAAAUUAACGACAGCAGCUGUUGUAAAAGCGAAAAGAGAAAGGGCAAGCAGUGGGAUGGCACGGAGUGAUUUGCACGGGCACGCACACGGGGGAUGUGAGCAGGACACCGCUGCAGGGACGCUUUGAAGACGCGGGAGGCCUGGGUACAGCGAUGCUGGGGCUGUUUGCGAAGAGGGAAGGCGCGAAUGCAGGUCAAAGCCAGUGUUUGAAACAGAAAGGGACAGCCUUGGAACCCUGGCAGGGCUGCUAUCACCAGAAGGAGAAGCAGUAACCAUGGCAACCUCAUGGGGCCUAGCGCUGGGAUCAAAGCUUUCUGUCAAGUGAUCCCCGGAGACCGCUUCUGAAGAUGUUUACAGCUGCUUUUCUGUCAUAAACAGCUCGGCAGACAUCUGGUUGAAAUGCAGUACUGUGCCUGACGGUUUUGUUCUUGUAUCUCUUUCAGAAGGCGUUUCAUAUCUACUGCUAUUGGACAGCAACGUCAACAACACGCCUCUGUGAAUAUUAGAAGCCAUUUUCCAUAUUAAAAACAAAUGUAAUUAAUUGCAGAGAGACUGGAAGGGGGAAGCAGUUUGGCCUGUUGAUUAGAGCUGAGACUGGGAGGGAAGCAGUGUGGCUUAGCGGUGAGAGAUGUGUGCCAGGUGCUGAAGCAAUCGCUUGUGAGAUGACGACAAUCACAAGUGAUAGGAAGUUGCACAGUCUGGGCUGUGCUGCGUUGCACACAGACACUCUCUCUUCCUCUCUUUUGGUUUGAGACACAGACUGGCAGAGCAGCAACUGAAUCCAUACUGUGGACUGCAGCAUGGCUCUGAGGGUCGUAGCGUGGGCUGUGCUUCUACACGUGGUCUUCCUGCAAGGCACCUGGGCCAAGAUCAUACCAAGGAUAACGUUCUCCAACAGUGAGUAUUGCCUUUAAGUUAAAAAAAAAUAAAAAAAAUAAGCACAAUAAAGUGAUGCAUAGAACUGUGGUUAUCAUUCAGGCACUGUGUCCUAAAGAUAGGUUGCUUGACUAAAGUUUCAUUCUGACAUUGAGAGAGAGGCGGAAGGUUUGGAUAGGUCCGAUGGACCAUGGCACGGCGAGUCUGGGUAGAGAUCAGAGUAGAGUUUGGAGUGCUUGGUCAUCCAUUCGGAAGUACAGAAAGGAAAGUUGACAAACGUUGGGAAUUCCAGGCAGAUUAUGGGAAAUCUUCGUGCAGUACGGUUAAAACCAAGAUACUGUUGUAAAAACAAAUUGGAGUUGUGUAGAUACUGUUUACAGCCGCCCCCCUGAGUGGAAUAACCAUGGCACCCUGCAGACGUUCAUGGAGAAU